CCCUACCCUAAGUUUUUCAAUUCCUAGAUCUAGACUAAAAAAACAAAGCGGCGGAGCUUCCAGAAAAUGAAGAGGAGACCAUCGUCUCCAAUUCUAAAAGAAAAACAGAGUACGAAACUAAGCAAAUACUUGUAGUUUCCUGUAAAUUCAAACUUUCUCCAAUUGAUUCCGUGUAGCAGAACAAACCCUUUUCAUUUUUCCAUCUAUAUAGUGAGAAUUCGUUCAAAGUCAUUAAUUCUUAUUCUUUCAAAGGCGCACCUCUCUUUCUUUUGUAAAAACAUCCAAAUCGAUCGCAACCCCUCUUUUAUUCUUUGGUUUUCUUCUGUUUUGGUAAUAUCAAAGUCUGAGCCUUGUCACGGCCAAGAGUUCUUUCGAUCUCGAACACCCCAUGGUUUAGCUAGAAUUUCGAGUUGGGUUCAAUAGGUUCGAGUUUAACCGGCGUAGUUUUUUUUGGAUUAAAAAUUGUUCGCAUUAGAGAUAAACGGACAGAUCCGGAAAAGUUAUUGUCCGAGUCUCCGUUCAGUUGCACGCCGAGGUACUGUCGUUGUUGCCGUUGAGGUCUUGAGUAGCCGGUUUCGUCCGGGUUCACCGUCGAAAGCUCCGGUCAGGAAUCAUCAAGUUUGUUUAGCCUCUUGAAGUUCCGAUUUGGUUGAUUUAUACCAAAGGUACUGAGACAUGUACUACCAGUGUUCACACAGACGCGUAGCCGCACUUCUACGGAGACUUAGUGGUGAGAUGCCUGCCUUGAUCCGAUCAGUAGCACCGGAGUCUCCCUCUAUCUUGUUUAUUAGUUCUGUCCAUUACCCUUCAGAUAAUAGUUGUAUUAGUUUUGUAUAUUCUCUAGAUUGCUCAUGCACUUGUGGCACCGGAUUUUGGGGGCUUGAAUUUUAGCAUUUAUGUAAUGUUGUACUUAUCAUUACUGUCUCUACAGUUGAUGCAUUUCUCACACUGGUAUUUUUAUUGAGAAAAGAGUAUGUAUGGUUGCAUGAGACC